UCUCCCAGUGCUGUCUGUUCUUUUCCUCUGAGUUUUGCAGGCAGGGGAAUCUCAUGCAAGCUUCAGCUCCACAUCCUCUGAAGAGAAAACAUUAAAGUCAGCACUUGACUGCACUGAAUUUUACAGGAUUUUCUCCCAAGAGACAGAAGCAGGAGGAGGGAGAUGAAGAAAAGACAUCAUAACUUGACAUCGCCAUGCUUUUCUGUUUGUGGUCUGCUAGGAUUUGGCAAUAACAUUUAUGCUGUUUCAGAGAAAAGAUAGGGGGUGAACAGCUGGAGGAGAAGUCCACACAAAGGCUUUAACAUCAGCAGGAGCAGAGCCCCAGGAGGGUCCUGGACAGGCCAGCAGUGUCAGUGUGUCGGCUCGGGGACAUCUCUGGUCUGAACACACCCGUCGGGGAUGUGUGUGCUGCUUGGAGGGGCUGGGAAAGCCACAAAGCAUCUCAGCUCACUUCCAGACUUAUUUUUUAGACAGCCUGGAUUUGUUUUGGAGGGAAAAAAAGAGAGCCUGGGAGAUUUGCAGAUGAGGCACCUACCUUUGAAGUUCUCCCUUCUCUAAGGGUGUGCAGAGUGUGCGCACAUGCUCACUCCACUGGUCAGCCUUCAAGGUCAUUAAUGUUUGGGAACUGUCAGUCGAAGAAGAGCUAAUCACUUGCUCCAAUUUUGGGACGUUUCUCACACUGAAAAGUUUAUUGAUUGUGCAUUCUACUCUUGCACCGGAUUUUACUGUUUUUUUGCACAUGGGAUGAUGGUGGCCACCAGUUUUCAUCUGUCCUCCUACCCUGAGGCAAGCAUGACACGACCCAUGAAGUGCUUGCUUACACUUCACAGUCCCAAAUAUGCCAUGGCUUUGCCAACUUUUCAGCUUAAAUUUUACGGGCACUGAACUAUUUCUGCAAACCCCAGGGGGACAGCCUCAUCCCGUGCUGAAGGUCGCAUUCAUCAUGGCUGCGAGAAGGGAGCAGGAAUGAGGUGGCCAAACCACGACCUGUGCCAGGUGGUGCUGCCCUGGGCAAUGUGGGGCACCCACAGCCAGGACCGAAGCUGCUGUCCCUGCUCCAAAGAUGGUGCUGCAAGAAUCACUAUUGACAGAGACUUCUGCAAACCACCCAAAAGCCCAUUCGAGAUGUCUGUUAUAAACACAGUUCAAACAACAUCGCACAAGAAAUGUUAUAAAUAUUUUAAAAUGGCUUCUUAAAAUUAGGGAUUGCCUACUGAAGGCAGUCAUUAGUGUAGGUUUCAUUGGUGUAGCAGACUGGAACAAGUUAUCUAGUUAUGAACUAAUUUAAAUUAUAUCCAUUAAAAUAUCCUUUUUACAUAAAACAGGGGGCAUUGGGGUUAUAAAAUAGACUGGGGCUUAAAGUGUAAGCUAAUAAAUAUCUAAUAAGUUGCAGUGCAUAUUUAAAUUGAUACGACAUACAAUAUAUUGAGUAAAUACUGCAGUGAAGACUCUGAACGGCCCUUGACCAGCCCUUGAAGCAGCUGUAGAGUAGUGCCUGGAACAUUUUAUUGUGCGUUUUUCAGGUCUUGGCAUGACAUGACCCCUCAUCGGUCCUGCUGCUCCUCCAAAAGCACAGUGCUCAAGCCAGCCACUACCUGAGUGCACGUGUUCGGACUCUGUUUUACCAGGUAAUUCAUUAAUGGGUCCUCUGCACACCUUAGGUGGCUCAUAUCCAUUAUCCGCACUUAAUAGUUUAGCCUAAGGAUGUCUCUCAACAUAAAUAAUCUUCCGUAAUACUUUGAUAGCAUAGUUGUAUUUCUUUUUAUAGUAAAUGGAAAUUAGCUAAAAGCCUUUGCCCAGAUUUGGAAUCGCAUGUCAUAUGGAAGACCAGAUAAAGAAUCUGCUGAGUUUUUUUUUUUUUUUUUUAAAGGAGGAUAUAUUAUCCCACCAGUGCGAUAUCUCCCACACAGGCAGAAAUUCAUCCAACACGUGUUCAAGUAAUUUUCUCUCUCUGACUUUUAGCUGGCCACGUAGACUUUUAAACUACCCGUGCUGCUUUAAAUGUAGUUUUAAAUUGCACCUAAUAUUUGGUGGGUAAUUCUUUAAAGCUGUUAGCACCUAUUCACAGUGUAAGUAGGGGGAUUUUUCUUUUUCAUGUGAGCCUUCUGGGAUGUUAAAGGAUCCAAGACUGGGGAUGCAAUCUCAAUCCAGAACUGAUCUUUGCAGUUUCCUGCAAGGGUGAAAUGGGAAAUGUAAAAUAUUACUUUAUUAAAAAUUGCUCAAAACACAUCUUCCUUGUUAAAUAUGCAGAGCUAUUCAAAUAUAUUACCUUUCUGGGAACAGUAACAAUACUCUGUUUGCCUGAAUUACUAUUUCCAGUACUUCUUUUACUGCUAAGGUAAAAUUAGGAUUUCAGAAGAACAAAUUAAUUUCUACAUUUUCUGAAGACCCAAAAAUGAACAUCCACGAACUGCAAAGGGGUAAGAGGCUUCUGUUAUUUAGUGUGAACACAGGACUCCCUUGCAUGUGACCAUGUUUUUUUUAAAAAAAAAUGGCUAAAAAGUUAGUAAACACACCACCUUUGCAGUUACAAAAGCCAGCAGUCUGUGGCUGGUGGUAUCAUGUCAUACUUAUUGUGAAGAAAUUUCUGUACCAGCCACCAACACCAAGGCAAAAACUGAAACUUACAUUCUUCAUACCUUAUAAAAUGUAACUGUGUCUUUGACACCCAUACUUAAAGUAUUUAUAAUAUUACAGUUAUCUCUUACAAUUUAAAUCAAUUUGGAACCACUUACAAGACAAAGUCCAAACAUGCCUGAAUUUCUUCCAGGAUGCUUUUACAAACUAUGUUUUCUAUGCAAAUAAUUUAUUCUACAAUUUUCUCAGUGAAAUUAAUUCCACAUACCCUACCUGCUAAUGAGAGCCCACCAAAUAUUUUGCUAUCGCACGCACUCAUUAGCUUGUUUUCAUUUGCAGGGAGCAAUCAACAUCUGCCAAGCAGCUAGCAUACCAAAGCUGCCAUUAGUAUUUCCUGAAUCUAACUGUUUCUAUUUCUUCCUCACCUCCAAAGGACAAUCCUGCACAGCAGGUAUCUUAGCAUUAAUAUUGCUGGGGAAUAGUUGCCUUCUGCAAGAGUACUCUGGACCCGAAACCAAAACCUCCUGUCUUUCUGCUAAAUGAUUGAAGAAUACCUUGUAAAUCAUUUACCUCUCCCUGCUGCUGGUUUUCUGUUGAUAGUGUUUACUCUGCUUCCAACAUGAUGGCAAAGUUAAAUUUUCAUUUUGCUGAAAAAGAACAAAAUACGGUGAGCCUUUUUGCUCGUUAUUGCCUGAUCUUUCUGGAGUGAGCUGUUUCCCAAUCCCAUGCAUCACAGAUGUCCUGUCAGGGCUCAUAUACACCCAGUGAAGUAUUUGCAUCCCCGUGCCUGCUGAUAGAGUGAGCAUGUUUGUCUACAAAGUGCUUUUAAAUGAACUAAUACAUGAUUCAUGCAGGCUCCUUUGAGCAGAACACCAAUCUGUCUGGACACAGUUUGCUGUAGGCUUGACAACAAGAGCAUUUCUCUAGGUGAGACGGGUGCAAGAGACCUUUCGGAAGGAAGGUGGGGAGCAAGCGGCCGUCAUGGCCCCACUGAGCAGCUGGGGCAUGCAGGGGUUCCCCACAGGGCAGGAGCAAACCCCACUUUUGUCUGAGAUGUUCUUCAUACCGUCUCUCUCUGGGUGUGGGUGACACGAGCUGCACAGAGGCUGUAUCUGCUCAGUCAUGCUUGAGCAGGAGCGGAUAGUGCACUACCUUUAUUAUUUAUACAGGGAUACAACAAGAUUCUUUGCAGUCAAAGAGAAGAAAAAAAAAAAAAGGAAAAAAAAAGGAAAAAAAAAAAGAUUGAUCCCAAGUAUACUGUUUCCUAUUGAACUAAAUAGAUUUUUAAUCGAGUCACUGCUCCUUUGGGUAAUUGACUUAACAGUGUGGGCAAAUUAAUUUCAGAUAAACCAUAGCUGGGAUUUUCCAAGGAGCACAAGGGUGCUAAGGAGUCAGCUCCAGUGCAGUGAGAGCAGGGCAAAUAUCUUAAUUCCUCUGGCUUCCCGGGCACAGCGCUGCCCAGAUGUUUAAACCUGGCGCUGAAUUUGGAAGCUUUUAUGUUAGUGAAACUCCCACUGAAGUCAGUCAAAACACUGAUUCAGAAAGGACGGCAGAAAUCGGUUCAAAAAAAUCCCAAGUGCUUGCAAAUGUGUUAUGCACACAUAACCUCCUCCCCUCGUUUAAUAACCUAAUCUAAAUGUUGCUCUGCGCAAUGCAUUAUUGUUCAAGUCUUUCUGUGAGAUUUGGCACAAUUACCUCCUUUUGGAUCUUAUCUGGGAAGCAAAGCCUUUGAAACAAGUUUAUUUUCCGGUGACCCAACCAGAACCCCACUCUAGUGGUGAAAGAUUGGUGAGGAAAACUAGCAUCGUGCUGCGGUUCCAGAAUACCCGCUUCUCUCGUCUAAAGCUCCGCUUACAUUAAAGCUCUUUCUACAAAGGGCACUGCAAAAGCAGGGAACUUGGAACACUUUUUACUCUAUUCAGGUCAGAAAUAGGCAGAAAAAAAAAAAUGCACUGUGACUUGUUCUGGCAGGAUUGUUUUGGGUUUUCCCAAAUUCAGAGCCUCAGCAAGACAAGGAAAGCCACACUCGCUUGUCCGUGGGGCAGCAAGUUGUGCUACAGCAGCCAGAGGUGGUGUCUGCAGGCCCCUUGGCUUUGGUUUUGCUCAGAGACAGGAGACUGCACACAUUUACCUUCCUCCAACAUCAAAUCUAUUAAAUCCUACAUCUUUUACAUAGGGCACAGUACCUAUAUUAAUGCAUAGAAGCAACACUCCUUCCAAUAUUUUUUAAGGAAAUGAAAACUGUACAUUUUAAGAAUCUGUAGCUGCUUUUCAUUGCUGAAAAAUUAUAUUCUGUGAAUUGAAUACAAUAAAAAUACCAUUAUUAUUAAAGAAAUUCUAUUGUAUGGAAAGAACUCGCGUUACAUUCUUUGGUGCCUUAUUCAUGCAACUUCAGUAAUUAAAGAGAAGAUCAACUAACUAUUAAAAGGAAAUUAUUCCUCAGCUGCCAGUUGCAACCCUUGUGAAAUCAAGGAAUGUGACAAAUAGUACUGUUGGUAUUAUUUACAUGUCAUGAAUGGGUAAGUAUAUAUCUACAUUGUUUUUUCUCUUCUAAAAUAAAUCUUAAGAUAUUUGUAGUGAUUUCUAAUAGAAAAUGCAAUAUUUUACCCCUGUGCAGCUGUUUGCAGAGCUGGUCAAUUGCAAAUAUACUGGUCAUAUUUUUUUCUGUUAUUCUCAUAUCUCCUGUAAACCUGGUUGGUUUUAUUGGCAUAUGCUGAGUUAUCAUCCCAAAGUUUGAUUUCCAGUGGACAGGGUUCUGCUGCUGGUGGAAAAGAAGAUGUGGCUGGCUGAAGUAGUGCUGGGCACUGGCUGCCCCAUGGCCAGGAAGGCUCAGCUCAGAUUGGUGAAGACAGAUGGGACAACUGGAAAUAGAGAAAAAUGACUGGAAGAAACAGAUAUACUCCUGCCAGUGGAGAGGCAGCCAACUUCUUUCUGUUUUUUUUUUUUUUUUUUUUUUUUUAGUCCUUCAUUAGAAGAUUAUUUGCAAUAGCCCUCAUGAAGAGGAAUUUGGCCAGUCCAGGUCCUCCAGUGGAAAAUAUGGGCAUAGCUUGGAUCAACUCUGAAAAGCCAAUCCAUAUACUGACACUAAAUCUUUCAGAUACAGCCACAGCCUCUCAGUGUGAUUGCAGUUUCUAUGACAAGAAUUUGGUUCAAAACUUUGAGAAGCCAUAAGGUGAAAAUAUUUGAAGCAUGAAAACAAGGCAAAACAAAGCAAAUGAUCCUAAAUGGCAGGCUCAAGACACGUCCAUCACAGUAGAAGACCACACGCCCCUGGCUGUGGCAAUGGUUUCUGCAGCAGGAUGGAGAUGCUGGGUCCUGGAGGCAAGUGGAGAGGAGAUGGAGCUCCGCAGCCUCACCUGGGCCAGGGGUGACACCUGAGUCCUUCAGGCCUCUGGGAACAGGGCUAUUUCUUGAGGAAAGAGGACCAUCUCUCCAUUUCCCAUGUCUUAAUGGAGGGUGAGACAUCCCCUGCUCUGCUGGCAAAUUCUUGCAUACUGCUAAUCUUACCUGUAAUAAUUUUUACCUGUUGAUACAAAUAAAUAAAACAAGAGUAUUAAUAUGGAUAUUUAGCCUUCUACCUUGUUCAGAAGAUGUGCUGCUAUGCUCAGUCAUGGUAAUACAGUAAAGCAACAUGGGAAAAUAUACAGCAAUCUGGAUUGCCUCAUAACCUAGAUCCAUCUGAAACAUAAGUUUAAGAUGGCCAAACAUGAAGUCGUGUACUAGGCCACAGCUAUAUAGUACUGAGCAGUUUAGGAUGGGUGUGACAUGGUGGUCUCUGAGCUGGGCUGUUAGCUAAAGCAACGUGAGCAGACGCUUGAAGGGAUAAUAAAGGGUUUUUGCCGUGUGCUGUUAGUUAAUUCUGCCAGCUCCACUGCUGCCCCUUCUGGGCUCCGUUCCUUGCCGUGUGCUGCUCAUCUUCAUUACCUACGUGUACAUGUACAAGAUCUCUAAUUACCCUUCUUGCUCUGCUAGUCUGCCUAAGACUUCGUACCCUGUAAUGUGAGACAAAAUAAGAUUGUUUUUUAUUUUCUUUUUUAUUUGUUUUUCAAAUACUCUCAGCUUUCUUAGUAUUGAACUGAUCCUAUUUCUGUGCCAGUUCAAGCCAUUCUGAGUUUCAUCACUCUUGCUUUUAUUUUCUCCUUGCGAGCCUCCCCCCAUAUUGUGCCAUUGGCAGGUUCCAUCCUUUUACAUGGCUUCUUCCAGGUCAUUGAUACUAGAGUGAAUAAUGCUGUCCUGACAUUGAUCUUGUUGUGCUCCAGUAGUCACUAAGAACAAACAAUAUUAGGUUAUAGCAUUGAUUUCAUGGAUUUCAAUUUUUUCCCAAUCAUGUUCUUGUUAAGCACCUUGUAAAAUACAUCAUGUCACAUGCUCAUCUCUUCUGUUUCGUGGCAAAACGAAUCCAACACAGGCAAUCGCUUUCAUACUGGGAAAAUUUGUCCUCCCCAGUGCCAAGGAGUUAGCAGUGUUUAAUUCAGUCCUAUGCUCUGGGGAAACUUAAGGGCAGCCUAUAGCAUUCAGUACAAUAUUUCAAAUUAUCAUAAUUUGCGAGCAACUGGACAAGCUGGCUACUGAAAAUGGGUAUCACGAUCUAAUAAAAACCUAAUAAAACUUUCAAAGUCACUCUGGAGCUCUCAGGGGAGCAUUAUGCAAUCCUGCCACUGCGGCAGGAGCCCAUCUCCUUCCAGCUAAUCCGCUGUGAAAGCGAGGUGCAGGCACGGCCGGGCAUGCCUAAACGGCUUUUCAUGUCCUCGCCAGCAAGAACUUUUUUGGAUGAGCUCCGGACUCUUUUGGUAGGCAUGUAAGUCACUACCAAUACUUUUCAAAGUGGCUGUGCUGUGGUUUGCUGAGAGAGGAGAUAAUACGGCCAUGAGGCUGAGGAUGUACAAACACAGACAUAAUGUCAUUUAAGUGCUCUUCCUAAUUAUUUUAUAUAUUAAUGCACUGUCGUCACUGCUUGCCAGGUAAUCUUUCAUACGGAGCUACAAGGAUGUCAAAGCAAAUUGUGCUGCUUCCUUCAGUGCAUGGUUUAGAAGAGUCCAUUUUGGCAAAACAAUGACUCCGCUACCUGCAAGUAUAAUGAAACAGAAAUGACAACCAGAUAACCACGUUGUCGAUACACGUACUGUUUGUAAAAUUAUUGUUUAGAAAAGUGGUGCUUUCAAAAUAUAGUGGGUACUGUGGGGAAGAGGCUCACAUACGUGUACUUGGAAAGCCACUCAUCCUGUUUUUGGUGUUCCUCAAUGGAAAGCGUUACAUAAAGGGUCAUAUAUAUAUGUAUAUAUAUCCUAAAAAAUCAAACUUAGCACUCUUAAUGGUAUGGUUUGCUCACUGGAAGAUUUCAAUAUUCUCAGGCACAGGAAUUCAACAUUUCUGACUGUUCUUAAUAGAUUUGGUGAGCCCUGAAAUCUGUGCCGUCCUGACCCUAUGUAAUGUCCAGUACAUUGAGGUGAGCUGAGGCUGCCUGGGCACACAGAUCGGUGUACAUAAUCACUGCCAAGGAGACGGCCGUAAUAAUUCUUAUCUUCCUUAAUCUUAUGUAAAUUUGGAGUUCCUGGAUUUAAGUCAACAGAACUGCAGUGUGUAGAGAUUAAACAUAGGCAUCUGACUCUACCUUUAUCUAUUCUCAUAAGAAAACCUGGUGUAAAAAAUUGUAAAGUUGAGACUGGUAAUGGAGAUAAAAAAAGCCUGUAGGAUCUUGCAGAAAGGAACAACUUCACUAUUUUUCUUACCCUUCAUAAUGCUGAGCAAAAUAUUUUAAAAAUAUUUUAGUGAUAUGAUGGAUGUAAACCAUUUAAAAGUUUUAUUGAGCUUUACUCUAGUGCAAAUCUUAAAAAUCCUAUAGAAAUUAUAUCAAGAUUUUCAGUAAGGUUCCAUGCAGUAUUAUGAGUAAAUGUAAAAUUGAUUUCAUAUUGGAAAUAGAUGCUAGGCAGAUUUUGCAUAUCGGGUAGAGGAAUGAAAUUACAUUUAUUGUUGUAUUUUUUUUUCUUUUUUUUUUUUUUUUUCUUAAAAAACAAAACAAAACAAAACACUUCAGCUCAGGUAAUAAUUGUACAGUCUAUUAUAAUGAUCCCAGGAGGUGCUUAACAGUACUGCAAUUCUAAGUUUUUACACUUUUAUUUUUCAUUUGAAGAAAAACUUGUCACAAUAAAAGUGAUACAUUAACAGAACAUCACUUCCUUCUUUUUUUAUUAUGCAUAUUUAGAUUAUUUCCAUGAAAUUGCUUAUCAAAUCCCAUAGGCUUUUAAAGAUAACUGAACAGUUACCCAUUUGUGUUAACUCUGGGAUAUUGUGCAAGAAUUUGUGGUGGGACAAUGAGAAGAUAAAGCACAC